UAUUGUAUUUGUGUGGUUGCAGAAUGUGAUGUAUUCAUGAGACGCGACGCUAAUUGAGUAUGACCUCCAGGUCUAAGAAUGAUUGAAUGUGGUGGGAGGCUAGUGGAAAUCUCAGGUAACUCCUGUGAUACUGUUGAGUACGAAUCCCAAGUCUAAACGUGGGAAGAAUUCCAGAUCUCAUAAUUGAGCUUGUUGUGAAAUGAAUCUAGCGUAUGAUGUUGUAGCGCUCGUUGUGCAAAGUCUGAGCAAGUUGGUGAUGAGACACUGAUUGAGCGUGACUUCGAGGUCUGAGAAUGAUUGAAUGUGGCUGGACGCUGUUGGAAAUCCCAAGUAACUUGCAUGAUACUGGUUGUCAGACAUUGAAGCCAUGUGAAGGUUGGUUCUGAGUCAUUGUAACCUAGUUAAGGAGAGAAGUUAGAGUUACUCUGUAGUUUUACAUGGCGUGCUAGCCAUGACAUCUCAUCAUACGUUCAAGGAGUCGGUUAGUAAAGUUGACUCUCCUUAAUGCUCAAACCUCAAUUAAACUAGAAAGAGAGAGGGUAAGAGCUGAAGAACUGAGGGAGAGAAAGGAAAUCCUGAAGAUUGUCUUCUAACUUGAGGGGUUGGGUGAACGAGGUAAAGAAGGAAAGAAGAUUUUUAUACCUCUAAGUACCCCACCUCAAGGAAGCAAUUGAACGAGUGAAGGAGGGAAAGGAAGAACCCCAAAGAUGUCCUUGAGAUUGAUUGUGAACGCCAAAGGAAAAAAGGAAGAGAUCAGAGUAUUUUCUACCAUGGCAGAAAAGGCUGCAACUUGGUGGGAAGAAGAAGGAUGCGAGAAGAUCAAAGUUGGUUUAUUUUAUGCAAAGCAAAGUUGUAACUUGUAAUUUGUACUUCUAAAAGUGUUAAAUUAAUAAAGAGGAGUUUUAAGUUAUUCCGCUGUGUUAUAUGUAGAGUUGUUUCUGCUGCAAACGAUGUGAAGAUCUCUAAGGCUCAAUGGAAGAGCUUUGCGAAGAGACAAGGACAAGAGUUGUUUUGCUCACUAGGUGUUCGACAUGUUAUCUUGAAAGAGGUAUGUGUUGAAUGUCUAGGUGGCACGCCCUCCAUUUGGUUGCAGGGUGUGACAUUUGGGGCGGGGUGUGACAAGUUGUACUUGGUGUAAAGAGUUAAGUUAAUAAAAAGAAGAAGUUAUGUUUA